rnacentral:rRNA from 1 species
UAGGGAAUCUUCGGCAAUGGACGAAAGUCUGACCGAGCAACGCCGCGUGAGUGAAGAAGGUUUUCGGNUCGUAAAACUCUGUUGGUAGAGAAGAACGUUGGUGAGAGUGGAAAGCUCAUCAAGUGACGGUAACUACCCAGAAAGGGACGGCUAACUACGUGCCAG